GUGCUCACUUUGGCAGCACCUAUAGUAAAAAAAUGGAACGAGACACAGAAGAUUGUCGUGGUCCCUGUGCAAGGAUGACAUACGUGCAACACUUCACGAGUUU